rnacentral:rRNA from 1 species
UACGAAGGGGGGCUAGCGUUGCUCGGAAUUACUGGGCGUAAAGGGCGCGUAGGCGGACAGUUUAGUCAGAGGUGAAAGCCCAGGGCUCAACCUUGGAACUGCCUUUGAUACUGACUGUCUUGAGUUCGGGAGAGGUGAGUGGAAUGCCGAGUGUAGAGGUGAAAUUCGUAGAUAUUCGGCGGAACACCAGUGGCGAAGGCGACUCACUGGCCCGAUACUGACGCUGAGGCACGAAAGCGUGGGGAGCAAACAGG